rnacentral:rRNA from 1 species
AGGAAAUAGAUACCCGGGUAGUCCUGGCCGUAAACGAUGGGUACUAGGUAGGGGGAUUUCAAACGUCUCUCUGCUGGAGUGAAAUAUAUUAAAGUACCCGCCUGGGAAGUACAGUCGCAAGGCUGAAACUCAAAGGAAUUGACGGGGGCUCACACAAGCGGUGGAGCAUGUUGUUCAAAUUCGAAGCAAACGCGCAGAACCUUACCUGGGCUUGACAUGCUCGUAGUGGAAGCCUGAAAGGGUGACGACUCCCUCUGGGGAGAGCGAGCACAGGUGUUUGCAUGGCUGUCGUCAGCUCGUGUCGUGAGAUGUCGGGUUUAAAGUCCCAUAACGAGCGAAACCCCUGUCCCUAGUUACUAACGGGUGAAGCCGAGGACUCUAGGGAGACUGCCGGUGUUAAACCGGAGGAAGGUGGGGAUGACGUCAAGUCCUCAUGGCCCUUACG